CUUGCUGCCCAGAACACACCAUUCUUACCUCUCUCACUCGCCAGCUCCUGCGAGAUUGUAGAGCUUGGUUCUUCCUUCGUUUUCUUCAAUUUUUCUCUAUAAAAAACUUGCAUGCAAAGCUUGAUUCAUAUUCUAAACACAUAGGUGCAUACUGGGAAGGUAAAAGUUCGAGCUUUAAGAGUCGGGAAGUUCAAGAAGCAAGGCCAUCUUCUUCAAUCAAGGAAACAGAUCAAAAAGAAUCAAGAAUCCAGUCUUGAGGAGCAGUAGAAGUCGAGUUACACCAUUUACAAAUUAAGACUCUUGUGCAGGGAAAAGCAAGCUAAGGUAGUCCGAGGGAUGAGCUGUAGUGAAGUCAUGUCUCAACUGUCAUAGUGGAUGCAAGCUUGAACAUGAUCAUAUUUUGCAACUUACUUCUGCUCAUGAACACUGUUUAACUUUAUUUUAUAACUUUCUUUUGGGUCUGUAAUAACUAACUUAAUUUCAUAUGUGAUGAAUGUUUAUUUUAAGAUUAGCUCGUAGAGUCAAUUCAACCA